UCACAAAUCAAGAAGUCAGAGAAAGAAUGCUCAGUAGUCCAGUGAAAUGGCAAUACCUCGUAAUGAGCAGAACAAACCAAAGACUAUUUAAAGUCUGAGACACACACAGGUUAGUUGAAUCAGAAUUCGGCAGACUGAGAACAAGGCAUUUGCGUGUGAUUGGAGGAAUGGAUGACAUCAUCAAGACUGGAAUUAUGGGAAUACCUUGCCACAACCAAGAUGGUGGAUCUGAGAGAGCUCCACAGUACUGUCAACAACCAAGCCCAUAGUCUCUGGUCCGCUGGAUGAGGCCACGUUCGAUGCCAACUCCCCGCCUCCCGUGAUUAUGGAGGGUGCACCCAACUAUGCUGUUUGGCGGUUCCUGGACUCUUGUCAGCAUUUAGGGGGCCUGCAGUACCUUGUGGACAGGGUGGGGUUCGGACCAGAAGAGAGGAGUUGGGUACCAGCGGAGGAUAUGUUGGAUCCAGCAUUAUUGGAGAAUUUCCAUUGGAGUCAUCCAUCACGCCCGGGACCAUGUCCCCGUGGUCGUCCUUGUGUGCAGUCUUCCUGUCCUCCAGGUGGUCAGCGAGGCCAUCCCAAGUCCCAGGUCCCUAGGUGCUUCACAAGGUUCAGUGGAUCUGUCCGGAGUCGUGACAGCUCGGAUGGCCCUCCUGCUUGGGUUUCCCGUCCAGGAGGGGGCUGCUCGUCAUUCGCAAGCUGUCUCAGACUCUUUGCGGGGGAGUACUGUCACACUUCCGGGUCUUCCUCCCUUGCCUAGAGCACUCCAGGACUCCAUUUCCCAUAAUUCCAGGCCCUCUUAUGUCAUCCAUUCCUCCAAUCACACGCAACUGCCUUGUUCUCAAACCUUCUGAUUCAAUUCACCUGUGUGUGUUUGUCUCAGACUUUAAAUAGUUUUGUUAUAGUUUUGUUUAAAUGGUUUGUUCUCCUUAUUGCGAUGUGUUGCCAUUUCAUUGGACUACUGAGUGACUUGUGAACCCUUUGAUUUCGGUUUUUGACUCUUGCUUGGUUUUUGGAUUUCGAUUUUGGAUUUGCCCUGAGACUGUGUUUGCCCUGAGACAAAUUACAAAAAAAAUCAUCUGAGUAAGAUUCUCUGCUAUUACCUAUUUCACAUCUGCCCUGAAUGACUUUAUUACAUUUCAACAAUUGAAUUAUGAACAACUAAAACAAAUUACAGGAACUGCCCUUUGUGUGAAUUUGCUUUCCUGAUGUACUGCAUAUUCUGUUUGAUUCUCACACACACACAAGUAAAUCUCUAAGCUCUUGGA